rnacentral:rRNA from 1 species
UACGGAGGGGGCUAGCGUUUGUUCGGAAUUACUGGGCGUAAAGCGCGCGUAGGCGGACCUGCAAGUCGGGGGGUGAAAGCCCGAGGCUCAACCUCGGAACUGCCUUCGAUACUGCGGGUCUCGAGUCCGGGAGAGGUGAGUGGAAUUCCUAGUGUAGAGGUGAAAUUCGUAGAUAUUAGGAAGAACACCAGUGGCGAAGGCGGCUCACUGGCCCGGUACUGACGCUGAGGCGCGAAAGCGUGGGGAGCAAACAGGG